AAAAGUUACAAAGGGCAUAUGGUGGAUGCCUUGGCACUAAUAGGCGAUGAAGGACGUGGCUACCUGCGAUAAGCCUCGGUAAGACGGUAACAGUCUUUGACCCGGGGAUCUCCGAAUUGGGCAACCAAUCUCAAGUAAUAUUGAGAUAUAUUAUACUGAAAGAGCAAUCAUAGGUAUAAUAAGCGAACGAAGGGAACUGAAACAUCUAAGUACCUUUUGGAAAAGAAAACAACCGUGAUUUCCUUAGUAGCGGCGAGCGAAACGGAAACAGCCUAAACCGUGUAGUAUGUGAUAGCCUGCAAGCGUUGUACUACCGGUGUUGUGGGGUGAAUAGGCAGAAUUGCAGUAUGUCAAAGAGAAAAAAGAUUAGGGUUAAUCGAAUGACUUGGAACAGUCAACCGCAGAAGGUGAAAGUCCUGUAGAUGAAAAUUUUAAUCACUCUUGUUUAUACCCCAAGUACCGCGGAGCACGUGGAAUUCUGCGGGAAUCUGCCAGAACCAUCUGGUAAGGCUAAAUACUCAUUAGUGACCGAUAGUGAACAAGUACCGUGAGGGAAAGGUGAAAAGUACUCCUGACAGGAGGGUGAAAUAGAACCUGAAACCAUAUGCCUACAAACGGUAGUAGUCUUGUAGAACAGCUUGCUGUUUUAUUUAGAUGACUGCGUGCCUUUUGCUUAAUGAGCCAACGAGUUACUCGUAUGUAGCAGCGUAAGUUUUUAAGAAACGAACGCACAGCGAAAGCAAGUCCGAACAGGGCGUUAAGUUACAUGCGGUAGACGCGAAACCGUGUGAUCUAUUCUUGACCAGGAUGAAAUAUCGGUAAAACGAUAUGGAGGUCCGAACCAGUGUGGGUUGAAAACCGCUUGGAUGAGUUGAGAAUAGGAGCGAAAGACCAAUCAAACUCGGAAAUAGCUCGUACUCCCCGAAAUAGCUUUAGGGCUAGCCUCGGAAUAGUAUUUUGAAGGUAGAGCACUAAUUGGGCUAGGGCCGCCACAGCGGUACCAAACCCAAAUAAACUCCGAAUAUCAAAAAUAUGUUUUCCGGGAGUCAGGCAGUGGGGGAUAAGCUUCAUUGCCGAGAGGGAAAUAACCCAGACCACCAAUUAAGGUCCCCAAGUUUAUGUUAACAGACUAAGGAUGUUAAGUUGCUUAGACAACUAGGAUGUUGGCUUAGAAGCAGCCACUCAUUUAAAGAGUGCGUAAUAGCUCACUAGUCGAGCGACUUAGCGCCGAUAAUACUCGGGACUAAACAUAACACCGAAAUUGUGGACUCCGUAAGGAGUGGUAGGGGAGCAUUCUAUUUGCGACUGCGGUGAACGCAGGUGCUUCGGCAUGAAGGUGCCCGGUGACGGGUGUUGGAGCGAAUAGAAAAGAAAAUGUUGGCAUAAGUAACGAUAAUGCAUAUGAAAAAUAUGCACACCGAAAAUCCAAGGUUUCCUGAGCAAUGUUAAUCAUCUCAGGGUUAGUCGGCCCCUAAGCUGAGGCCAAACGGCGUAAGUAAUGGGAAACAGGUUAAAUAUUCCUGUACCUUCGACAUUUAAACUAAAGUGACGCAAGAGUGAAAGGAGAGCCACCUGAUGGAUGGUGGUCUAAGGUCGUAGUUGUGAGCAAUCAUGAUGAAAGCUGAACGGGAUGGCGCAAGCCUACAAACUCUCCCUAAUCAAGUUGCCAAGAAAAGCUUUAGUGUAUACUAAGAAGACCGUACCGCAAACCGACACAGGUAGAUGAGGAGAGUAUCCUAAGGUGCUCGAGUGAGCCGUAGUCAAGGAACUCGGCAAAUUAACCCCGUAACUUCGGGAUAAGGGGUGUCCAGAUUAUAUCUGGAUCGCAGAGAAAUGGGCCAAGCGACUGUUUAACAAAAACACAUGUCUAUGCAAAGCCUUUAAGGCGAAGUAUAUGGACUGACACCUGCCCGGUGCUGGAAGGUUAAGAGGAGAGGUUAGUCCUUUAGGGCGAAGCUUUGAAUCGAAGCCCCAGUAAACGGCGGCCGUAACUAUAACGGUCCUAAGGUAGCGAAAUUCCUUGUCGGGUA
rnacentral:rRNA from 1 species